rnacentral:rRNA from 1 species
GACGAACCGAGCGAACGUUGUUCGGAAUCACUGGGCUUAAAGGGCGCGUAGGCGGGCCGUCUAGUCCGUGGUGAAAUCCUCCGGCUCAACCGGAGAAGUGCCUCGGAUACUGGCGGCCUCGAGGGGGGUAGGGGCGUGCGGAACUUCCGGUGGGGCGGUGAAAUGCGUAGAUAUCGGAAGGAACACCGGUGGCGAAAGCGGCGCGCUGGACCCCAUCUGACGCUGAGGCGCGAAAGCCAGGGGAGCAAACGGG